rnacentral:rRNA from 1 species
UACGUAGGGUGCGAGCGUUAAUCGGAAUUACUGGGCGUAAAGCGUGCGCAGGCGGUUAUGUAAGACAGAGGUGAAAACCCCGGGCUCAACCUGGGAACUGCCUUUGUGACUGCAUAGCUGGAGUACGGCAGAGGGGGAUGGAAUUCCGCGUGUAGCAGUGAAAUGCGUAGAUAUGCGGAGGAACACCGAUGGCGAAGGCAAUCCCCUGGGCCUGUACUUACGCUCAUGCACGAAAGCGUGGGGGGCAAACAGG